AUUGACCGCUGGCGGCAGGCCCAACACAUGCACGUCCUACAAGUGGCGGACGGGUGAGUAUUGUCUGGGCAUCUGCCUGAUGGCGGGGGAUAUCCACUGGCAACCGUAGCUAAUACCGCUCACCACCAGAUUUGCCCAGAUGGGAUUGGCUAGUAGGUGGGGUAAAGGCUCACCUAGGCGACGAUCCCUAGCUGGUCUGAGAGGAUGACCAGGCACGGUGGAACUAGGACACGGUCCGGACACCUGCGAGAGAGGGCGGUGGGGAAUAAGGCACAAUGGGGGCAAGCAUGAUGCGGCCAUGCCGAGUGAGUGGAGGAGGCCGUCGGGUUGUAAAGCACUGGCAACGAGGAGGCGGUACUCGCAGCAGAGGCACCGGCUGACUCCGUGCCAGCAGCCGCGGUAAUAC
rnacentral:rRNA from 1 species